rnacentral:rRNA from 1 species
AUUGAACGCUGGCGGAAUGCUUUACACAUGCAAGUCGAACGGCAGCACGGACUUCGGUCUGGUGGCGAGUGGCGAACGGGUGAGUAAUGUAUCGGAACGUGCCCAGUCGUGGGGGAUAACGUAGUGAAAAUUACGCUAAUACCGCAUACGACCUAUGGAUGAAAGCGGGGGAUCGCAAGACCUCGCGCGCUUGGAGCGGCCGAUAUCAGAUUAGGUAGUUGGUGGGGUAAAGGCCCACCAAGCCAACGAUCUGUAGCUGGUCUGAGAGGACGACCAGCCACACUGGAACUGAGACACGGUCUAGACUCCUACGGGAGGCAGCAGUGGGGAAUUUUGGACAAUGGGCGAAAGCCUGAUCCAGCCAUUCCGCGUGCGGGAUGAAGGCCCUCGGGUUGUAAACUGCUUUUGUACAGAACGAAAAGGUUUCUACUAAUACUAGGAGCUCAUGACGGUACUGUAAGAAUAAGCACCGGCUAACUACGUGCCAGCCGCCGCAGUAA